UACAGAGGGUGCGAGCGUUAAUCCGACUUACUGGGCGUAAAGCGUGCGUAGACGGUUUCGUAAGUCGGGUGUGAAAUCCCCGGGCUCAACCUGGGAAUUGCAUUCGAAACUGCGAGGCUAGGGUACGGAAGAGGGAAGCGGAAUUUCUGGUGUAGCGGUGAAAUGCGUAGAUAUCAGAAGGAACAUCAGUGGCGAAAGCGGCUUCCUGGUCAAGUACCGACGUUCAGGCACGAAAGCGUGGGGAGCAAACAGG
rnacentral:rRNA from 1 species